rnacentral:misc_RNA from 1 species
GAUGAGAACGUAGCGAAAUGCGAUAAGUAAUGUGAAUUGCAGAAUCCAGUGAAUCAUCGAAUCUUUGAACGCACAUUGCGCCCGCCAGCAUUCUGGCGGGCAUGCCUGUUCGAGCGUCAUUUCAACCCUCGACCUCCCUUUGGGGAAGUCGGCGUUGGGGACCGGCAGCACACCGCCGGCCCUGAAAUGGAGUGGCGGCCCGUCCGCGGCGACCUCUGCGUAGUAAACCAACUCGCACCGGAACCCCGACGUGGCCACGCCGUAAAACACCCAACUUCUGAACGUUGACCUCGAAUCAGGUAGGACUACCCGCUGAACUUAAGCAUAUCAAUAAGCGGAGGA